rnacentral:rRNA from 1 species
AUUGAACGCUGGCGGCAGGCCUAACACAUGCCAGUCGAGCGGAUGAAGGGAGCUUGCUCCUGGAUUCAGCGGCGGACGGGUGAGUAAUGCCUAGGAAUCUGCCUGGUAGUGGGGGAUAACGUCCGGAAACGGGCGCUAAUACCGCAUACGUCCUGAGGGAGAAAGUGGGGGAUCUUCGGACCUCACGCUAUCAGAUGAGCCUAGGUCGGAUUAGCUAGUUGGUGGGGUAAAGGCCUACCAAGGCGACGAUCCGUAACUGGUCUGAGAGGAUGAUCAGUCACACUGAAACUGAGACACGGUCCAGACUCCAACGGGAGGCAGCAGUGGGGAAUAUUGGACAAUGGGCGAAAGCCUGAUCCAGCCAUGCCGCGUGUGUGAAGAAGGUCUUCGGAUUGUAAAGCACUUUAAGUUGGGAGGAAGGGCAGUAAGUUAAUACCUUGCUGUUUUGACGUUACCAACAGAAUAGCACCGGCUAACUUCGU